rnacentral:rRNA from 1 species
UCGAGAAUCUUCCGCAAUGGGCGAAAGCCUGACGCAGCGACGCCGCGUGGGGGAUGAAGGUCUUCGGAUUGUAAACCCCUUUCGGGAGGGAAGAUGGAGCGAGCAAUCGUUCGGACGGUACCUCCAGAAGCAGCCACGGCCAACUUCGUGCCAGCAGCCGCGGUAAUACGAAGGUGGCAAGCGUUGUUCGGAUUCACUGGGCGUACAGGGUGUGUAGGCGGUUUGGUAAGCCUUCUGUUAAAGCUUCGGGCCCAACCCGGAAAGCGCAGAGGGUACUGCCAGGCUAGAGGGUGGGAGAGGAGCGCGGAAUUCCCGGUGUAGCGGUGAAAUGCGUAGAGAUCGGGAGGAAGGCCGGUGGCGAAGGCGGCGCUCUGGAACAUACCUGACGCUGAGACACGAAAGCGUGGGGAGCAAACA